GGAAAUCUUACCAAGUCCAGACAUAGAAAGGAUUGACAGAUUGAUUGUUUUUUCUUAAUCCUAUGGGUGGUGGUGCAUGGCCGUUCUUAGUUGGUGGAGUGAUCUGUCAGGUUAAUUCCGUUAACGAACGAGAUUUUUCCUUUCUUAUUUUGAAAUGGUUUAAGCCACACUGAGAGGGACAUUGUAUGUGUAGUACAAGGAAGUUAAAAGCGAUAA
rnacentral:rRNA from 1 species